CGGGAGGGAACAGUGAGGGAGGCCAGGGGCUCAGGUGGAGUCAGGAGGGAAAUGGUCCAAGGUGAGCAGAACACCACAAGGAGAAACCAGGUCCGAGAACUGGCCUCGGGACUGUUGUGGUGGUGUGAGUGGAGAGUUUCAAGGGUCAACCAGAGGCAAAGCCAGAUCUGGGGCCCUUCUCUGCCAAAUGUUUGUUGCUUCUGCCACAGGAGAGAGAAGGGGAAAGAAGGCAAAAGAAACAAAGAGAUCCCACAUUUGAAGUGGUUGGACUUUUUUAUCUAUCCUUGCCUUCAGGGUCUUCUGGGUUACAGUCACCCCGCUUUUUUUUUAAAGUGGCUCAUUUUCCCCCCUUUCCUAUUUAAGAAGUGAAGCAA